rnacentral:rRNA from 1 species
AGGGUUUUACUGUCUCCUUUUUCUAAUCAGCGAAACUAAUCUCCCCGUGAAGAAGCGGGGAUAUUUAUAUAAGACGAGAAGACCCCAUGGAGCUUCAAACCCAAUUACACCCCCCCCCCCCCAUAACCUCCUACCCCCCCGGCCGCGUGUAAUUGGUUUUCGGUUGGGGCGACCACGGAGUAUAAUCAAACCUCCAUGAUGAACGGGAUUACCCUUAUCUGAGAGUAACAGCUCUAAGAAAUAGAACACUAACAUAGAAUGAUCCAUUAUAUGAUCAACGAACCAAGUUACCCU